rnacentral:rRNA from 1 species
AACGAACGCUGGCGGCAGGCCUAACACAUGCAAGUCGAGCGGUGACAUCGGUUCUAGCGGCGGACGGGUGAGUAACGGGUGGGAAUGUGCCCUUCUCUACGUAAUAGCCCUGGGAAACUGGGAGUAAUCUCGUAUACGCCCUUUUGGGGACAGAUCUCUCGGAGAAGGAUCAGCCCGCGUUGGAUUAGGUAGUUCGUGGGGUAAUGGCCUACCAAGCCGCCGAUCCAUAGCUGGUUUGUGAGGAUGAGCAGCCACACUCGGACUGGGACACGGCGGAGACUCCUACGGGAGGCAGGAGUGGCGGAUCUUAGCAAACGGGGGCAAUCAGGAUCUACCCAUGCCGCGUGAGUGAUGAAGGCGGGAGGGAGGUAAAGCUAGUUCAGCUGGGAAGAUAAUGACGGUACCAGCAGAAGAAGCCCCGGCUAACUCCGUG